rnacentral:rRNA from 1 species
AUUGAACGCUGGCGGCAGGCCUAACACAUGCAAGUCGAGCGAGCGGCGGACGGGUGAGUAAUGUAUGGGGACUGCCCGAUAGAGGGGGAUAACUACUGGAAACGGUAGCUAAUACCGCAUACUAUCGGAUAACCCAUAUGGGUUUAGUUAGUAGGUGAGGUAAUGGCUCACCUAGGCGACGAUCCCUAGCUGGUCUGAGAGGAUGAUCAGCAAAACUGGGAUGGAAAAAGGGCCCAGACUCCUACGGAGGAAGCAGAGGGAAAUAUUGCACAAUGGGGGCAAGCCGGAUGCAGCCAUGCCGCGUAUAGGAAGAAGGCCUUAGGGUUUUAAAGUACGUUCAGUGGGAAGGCGUUACCGACAGAAGAAGCACCGGCUAACUCCGUGCCAGCAGCCGCGGUAAUAC